CCUACGGGAGGCAGCAGUGGGGAAUAUUGCACAAUGGGCGCAAGCCUGAUGCAGCGACGCCGCGUGGGGGAUGACGGCCUUCGGGUUGUAAACCUCUUUCACCAGGGACGCGGUACCUGGAGAAGAAGCACCGGCCAACUACGUGCCAGCAGCCGCGGUAAUACGUAGGGUGCGAGCGUUGUCCGGAAUUACUGGGCGUAAAGAGCUCGUAGGUGGUUUGUCGCGUUGUUCGUGAAAACCGGGGGCUUAACCCUCGGCGUGCGGGCGAUACGGGCAGACUUGAGUACUGCAGGGGAGACUGGAAUUCCUGGUGUAGCGGUGGAAUGCGCAGAUAUCAGGAGGAACACCGGUGGCGAAGGCGGGUCUCUGGGCAGUACUGACGCUGAGGAGCGAAAGCGUGGGGAGCGAACAGGAUUAGAUACCCUUGUAGUC
rnacentral:rRNA from 1 species